rnacentral:tRNA from 1 species
UGCCCCAUGGCUGAGUUGGUUACAGCGUCCGACUGUUAAUCGGAAGGUCGAGAGUUCGAACCUCUCUGGGGCAG